GUCAGGAUGGCCGAGCGGUCUAAGGUGCUGCGUUCAGGUCGCAGUUUCCUCUGGAGGUGUAGGUUCGAAUCCCACAUCUGACA